UAAGAAUACUCAAAUAUUUCUUUUUCUUAUUGUACUCUGAUUUGCAUGUCAAAUUAUUGCAAGGAUAUGAAUCAUAUAACUCAAGGCAAUAAUAUUAGAAUAGGAUUAAUGAGCAUAGAUCAGAGCCAAUUAAGAUAAUUUCAGAUCAGAACACAUCGAAUGUGAUUCCAAGGAUAGUUUUCAACUCAAGUGUAGAUGGAAUCUUUCUUAAGUUAAUUCAAGAAGUACCACGAAUGAUAUUCAAAGAAAGCACGAAUGGAAAUCUAACCUCUCUUCAAUAAUAAGUACGAAAGCUUGUUCAUUUAAGAUCUUUUGCCCAAUGUAUUAAGUAUUUUAUCAACAUGAGAGCAAUUUAAUUAAUUUUCAGAGUAUAAGUGCAAAACUCAUAUACUUGAAAAACAUAUCAUCAUGUUGGAUCAUUAAAUCUUAAUGACUUCAAUGUUCUUUUAUGAUAAUAAGAACAUUGGGGCACAAAUACCAAAAUAUGCAAUUUUUGAUACAUCUUAGAGCUCAUUUAAAGACUUUCUUUUAUUUCUUUAGAAAAUAAGCACAAUUUGAUACAUAAAAAUAUGAAUUGGCAUAAAAUUUGAAGUUCUAAAGAGCAAGCCAAUUAGGAUUCAUUAGUGAGUUUCAAAAUAGAUUUUCUAAAAGAUACUCAAGCAAAAUCAACAUAUCAUUCUCCCCCUUUUUCAUUAAAUUAGAGGCUCUUAAGAU
rnacentral:lncRNA from 1 species